rnacentral:rRNA from 1 species
CGGGACCUACGGGAGGCAGCAGUCGAGAAUCAUUCACAAUGGGGGAAACCCUGAUGGUGCGACGCCGCGUGGGGGAAUGAAGGUCUUAGGAUUGUAAACCCCUGUCAUGUGGGAGCAAAUUAAAAAGAUCGUACCAAAAGAGGAAGAGACGGCUAACUCUGUGCCAGCAGCCGAGGUAAUACAGAGGUCUCAAGCGUUGUUCGGAAUCACUGGGCGUUAAGCGUGCGUAGGCUGUUUCGUAAGUCGUGUGUGA